GAGGUGGGAUCCCGGCCCCGCGGGGNNGCNCGCACCACCGGCCCGUCUCGCCCGCACCGUCGGGGAGGUGGAGCGUGAGCGCGUGCGAUAGGACCCGAAAGAUGGUGAACUAUGCCUGGGCAGGGC
rnacentral:rRNA from 1 species